AACAGCGGCCGAGUUCUCCCCAGGGCUUGGCAGCACUGGGAUUUCGCCUACGGAUCACAUCAGCCAGCCAGGCUUCUCUGGGAAAAGCUGGGAUGAGCUGGGAAAAGCCCAGGGAAGGGCAUGGAGACCACCAUGAAGGGUCCAUGGAGGACACCCAUCACCUAAAUGUGCCAUCCACAACCAAGAGGGUUUUGGCACUUAAAUGAGCCAUUUUCCCACUGGGAACGGUGGGAGGAGAGGGAAUCACAGCAGGAAAAAAUGCUGACCAGUGUGAUGCAUGGCCACAGGCAUGACCCAGGUGUGUGGAAACCAGAAUGGGAAGCAACCAGAGAUGUGCUGCUCCCCGCACCCUGCAGCUCAGCUCCAGCACAGCCCUGUGGGGAACCCUGAAAUUGGAGCUGUCUGAGCAAAUUCAGGACACUGGAGGUAAAACCAGAAUGAAGCAUCAGGGCAGGAGCAAAAGAAAAACAAGUUCUCCACACCCUCUGAGCUGAGGAGGCUGGGAAUGGAGGUGAGUUAAUACUCCCAGAGUGGAAUGUCAUCCCAAGCUCCACAUCAACUAGAGCAAAACUUGACUCAGUGUUUAACCCAGCUAAACCCUGGCUGUGGACUGAGUCAUUAGGAGAACCAGCAAUUGCCUGCCAAAACCCCAAAACACACUUCUCAA
rnacentral:lncRNA from 1 species